rnacentral:sRNA from 1 species
AGCUCAGAAUGAUCGUCUUCCUGUUCAGA